GACCGUAGCUCAACUGGUGAGAGCACCGGAGUGCCGUUCUGGACAUUGCGGGUUCGAGUCGCGCUCAGACUGUCG
rnacentral:tRNA from 1 species